rnacentral:sRNA from 1 species
UGAAAAAAGGUGAGCUGUAUAUGCAACGGAGGAAGAAACCCCGUUGCUGGAAGCCAGGAAAAAGUAUCGGGUGUUGCUGUCCUCGGAUGUUGUGCUAAU